GAUGAACGCUGGCGGCGUGCCUAAUACAUGCAAGUCGAGCGAACAGACGAGGAGCUUGCUCCUCUGACGUUAGCGGCGGACGGGUGAGUAACACGUGGAUAACCUACCUAUAAGACUGGGAUAACUUCGGGAAACCGGAGCUAAUACCGGAUAAUAUAUUGAACCGCAUGGUUCAAUAGUGAAAGACGGUUUUGCUGUCACUUAUAGAUGGAUCCGCGCCGCAUUAGCUAGUUGGUAAGGUAACGGCUUACCAAGGCAACGAUGCGUAGCCGACCUGAGAGGGUGAUCGGCCACACUGGAACUGAGACACGGUCCAGACUCCUACGGGAGGCAGCAGUAGGGAAUCUUCCGCAAUGGGCGAAAGCCUGACGGAGCAACGCCGCGUGAGUGAUGAAGGUCUUCGGAUCGUAAAACUCUUUUAUUAGGGAAGAACAAAUGUGUAAGUAACUAUGCACGUCUUGACGGUACCUUAUCAGAAAGCCACGGCUAACUACGUG
rnacentral:rRNA from 1 species